GAGUGCAACAUCCUAAUGAACUUCUCACUACACACUGUCAUCUCUGCUCUGCAGAAAACCUCCAUAAGUCGCCUGGAGAACACAUGGGACGAAGUUUCCUGGGAGAGCUCCGAAAACUUCAAGGAACUGUAUAGAAAAGACAAGUCCUUGAGCAGAGAACUGAUGACCAAGUCUGUCUUGUCCAGAUUAACAAGGGGAGGGAUCCUUUUGGUCCACGGGCAGGAGGGGCCCUCCACAUUUGCCAUGCCAGAGAUACACCCCCAGAGAGUCCAGGAGCAGCAGCAGCAGCAACAGUGGGAACAGAGAAGUCGGGCCCCUCCAGUUGGGCAGCACAUGAGUGGCUGA
rnacentral:lncRNA from 1 species